ACAGAGAGAGAGGGAGGGCAGGGUGUUGAUUUGAGCAAGGCCUGGGGGCAGCCUACAGGGUAGAGAAGGGAAUGAUAGACUGGCUAACCAGAUGUUGAUCAGGCCUAUGUAGCGCUCUUCUUUUCAUCAAUAGUGAACAAAAAAAGUGGCAAGAGAAAUCCUGUUAGCUGCAUACUUAUUUGCUUCAAAGUCAGCCUUAAAAACCACCAAGUGUCACUUGACUUGAGUCUAAUCAAUUCUGCGUUUUGAUCUAGAAAUGGCUGAAACUUUCGGCGUUUGAUGACAGAAAAUGUCUGUUGUUAAAACGGAUGUCAUCUACAGGAUGCGUGCGCGCACACUGCCCAGCAAGUAUGAUGCUGCUCACAGAAGACAGUAAUGAAAAAUGAUGUCCCUUUACCUCCCCAAAUUUUCUAGAGUAACAGUGGUGGCAAAAGUGAGUAAUCUGUAAUCGGAGCGAUGUGGAGGAGUGCAGUGCAGCUAAUGCGACUAGACCCUGCUGUUCUCCGAGGAAGACUGCUGGAGGGGAGGAAGAAGACGAGGAGAAGGAGAGGCAGAGGGAUGAGCAGGAAGAAGAACACACACAGAGGCUGUUGGGGGAUCGCUUGCUCCAAACAUAGCAGAAGAUUAGUGACCUCAAGUUCUUACAGAUAAUGCCCAAGCAGGCGGAGUGACACAGGUCAGUCAGACAGAUGUAGAUGAGGAGGUCAGUGUGGAAGGAAGUCGAGCCAAACUUGCACAGAGCAGGUGUUUUGCAGAGACAGUAGGAGUAAUGCCAGAGGUGCGAGGGAAGGCGGACGGAUCAAUUGGUGCUGAGCCUCAGGGGCCCGAUCCCUUCUCGCCUCCAGGCCUGUUUCUCACCCCCGUUAAGGAGGUGGGGAUUAGAGGUCAGGAACACCGCCACGUCCUCUGCCCGCAUCGAUCGCUGUUUC